rnacentral:rRNA from 1 species
AGAGUUUGAUCCUGGCUCAGAGCGAACGCUGGCGGCGUGCUUAACACAUGCAAGUCGCACGGUUGGGGGAAACUCCGGCAGUGGCGGACGGGUGAGUAACGCGUAGGCAUCUAUCCAAUGGUGGGGGACAACCGCGGGAAACUGCGGCUAAUACCGCAUGAUGACUUUAGCCUGAGAGGUUGAGGUCCAAAGCUUGCAAGAGCGCCGAUGGAGGAGCCUGCGUCCGAUUAGCUUGUUGGUGGGGUAACGGCCCACCAAGGCGACGACGGGUAGCCGGCCUGAGAGGGCGACCGGCCACACUGGGACUGAGACACGGCCCAGACUCCUACGGGAGGCAGCAGUGGGGAAUAUUGCACAAUGGGCGAAAGCCUGAUGCAGCGACGCCGCGUGAGGGAUGACGGCCUUCGGGUUGUAAACCUCUUUCAGCAGGGAAGAA